AUGAACGCUGGCGGCGUGCCUAAUACAUGCAAGUCGAACGAACUGUUUGUCUUCGGAUGAGCAGUGAGUGGCGUCCGGGUGAGUAACACGUAGGUGACCUAUCCCGAGGUGGGGAAUAACCACCCGAAAGGGUAGCUAAUUCCGCAUAAGUUCCAGGAUUCAGUUCCUGGAGGAAAGCCGAAAGGCGCCUUGGGCGGGGCCUGCGGCCGAUUAGCUAGUUGGUAGGGUAAUGGCCUACCAAGGCAGAGAUCGGUAGCUGGUCUGAGAGGAUGAUCAGCCACACUGGCACUGAAACACGGGCCAGACUCCUACGGGAGGCAGCAGUAAGGAAUAUUGCACAAUGGGCGAAAGCCUGAUGCAGCAACGCCGCGUGGGUGAAGAAGGCCUUCGGGUCGUAAAACCCUUUUCCAGGGGAAGAGGAAGGACGGUACCCUGGGAAUAAGUCUCGGCUUACUACGU
rnacentral:rRNA from 1 species